rnacentral:misc_RNA from 1 species
AACUUUCAGCAACGGAUCUCUUGGCUCUCGCAUCGAUGAAGAACGCAGCGAAAUGCGAUAAGUAAUGUGAAUUGCAGAAUUCAGUGAAUCAUCGAAUCUUUGAACGCAUCUUGCGCUCCUUGGUAUUCCGAGGAGCAUGCCUGUUUGAGUGUCAUUAAAUUCUCAACCCAACCAGUUUUUGUGACUGGCUUGUGGCUUGGAUGUGGGGGUUAUCUGCGGGCCUCUUUAGAGGUCGGCUCCCCUGAAAUGCAUUAGCAGAACCGUUUGCGGAACUGUCACUGGUGUGAUAACUAUCUACGCCAAAGACAACUGCUCUCUGGUUAAAUUCUGCUUCUAAUUGUCCUUACACAUGGACAACCAUUGAUUAAACUUGACCUCAAAUCAGGUAGGACUACCCGCUGAACUUAAGCAUAUCAAUAAGCGGAGGAAAAGAAACUAACAAGGAUUCCCCUAGUAACUGCGAGUGAAGCGGGAAAAGCUCAAAUUUAAAAUCUGACGGUCCUUGGCUGUCCGAGUUGUAAUCUAGAGAAGUGUUACCCGCGCUGGACCGUGUACAAGUCUCCUGGAAUGGAGCGUCAUAGAGGGUGAGAAUCCCGUCUCUGACAUGGACUACCAGGGCUUUGUGGUAUGCUCUCAAAGAGUCGAGUUGUUUGGGAAUGCAGCUCUAAAUGGGUGGUAAAUUCCAUCUAAAGCUAAAUAUUGGCGAGAGACCGAUAGCGAACAAGUACCGUGAGGGAAAGAUGAAAAGAACUUUGGAAAGAGAGUUAAACAGUACGUGAAAUUGCUGAAAGGGAAACGCUUGAAGUCAGUCGCGUUAGCCAGGAAUCAGCCUCGCUCUUGCGUGGUGUACUUUCUGGUUGACGGGUCAGCAUCAAUUUUGACCGUUGGAAAAAGGCUUGGGGAAUGUGGCAUCUUCGGAUGUGUUAUAGCCCCUUGUCACAUACAGCGGUUGGGAUUGAGGAACUCAGCACGCCGCAAGGCCGGGUUUCGACCACGUUCGUGCUUAGGAUGCUGGCAUAAUGGCUUUAAUCGACCCGUCUUGAAACACGGACCAAGGAGUCUAACAUGCCUGCGAGUGUUUGGGUGGAAAACCCAAGCGCGUAAUGAAAGUGAAAGUUGAGAUCCCUGUCGUGGGGAGCAUCGACGCCCGGACCAGAACUUUUGGGACGGAUCUGCGGUAGAGCAUGUAUGUUGGGACCCGAAAGAUGGUGAACUAUGCCUGAAUAGGGUGAAGCCAGAGGAAACUCUGGUGGAGGCUCGUAGCGAUUCUGACGUGCAAAUCGAUCGUCAAAUUUGGGUAUAGGGGCGAAAGACUAAUCGAACCAUCUAGUAGCUGGUUCCUGC